UACGAGCUCUCCAAACGUUAUUCGGUAUUACUGGGCUUAAAGAGUUCGUAGGCGGUUCUGUAGGUGAGGUGUGAAAGCCCUCGGCUUAACCGAGGAAUUGCGCUUCAAACCGCAGGGCUUGAGGGAGGUAGGGGUACGUGGAACAGAUGGUGGAGCGGUGAAAUGCGUUGAUAUCAUCUGGAACGCCGGUGGCGAAAGCGACGUACUGGACCUCUUCUGACGCUGAGGAACGAAAGCUAGGGUAGCGAACGGG
rnacentral:misc_RNA from 1 species